rnacentral:rRNA from 1 species
UCAGGCCUAACACAUGCAAGUCGAGCGGGGUUUUCGGACCUAGCGGCGGACGGGUGAGUAAUGCGUAGGAAGCUACCCGAUAGAGGGGGAUACCAGUUGGAAACGACUGUUAAUACCGCAUAAUGUCUACGGACCAAAGUGUGGGACCUUCGGGCCACAUGCUGUCGGAUGCGCCUACGUGGGAUUAGCUAGUUGGUGAGGUAAUGGCUCACCAAGGCGACGAUCCCUAGCUGGUUUGAGAGGAUGAUCAGCCACACUGGAACUGAGACACGGUCCAGACUCCUACGGGAGGCAGCAGUGGGGAAUAUUGGACAAUGGGCGCAAGCCUGAUCCAAAAGUGCCGCGUGUGUGAAGAAGGCCUUCGGGUUGUUUUUCAGGGCAGCGAGGAGGAAGGGUUGUGUG